rnacentral:rRNA from 1 species
ACGCUCGACACCUACGGGAGGCUGCAGUUGGGAAUAUUGGACAAUGGAGGAAACUCUGAUCCAGUGACGCCGCGUGAAGGAAGAAGGUCUUCGGAUUGUAAACUUAUUUUGUCAGGGAAGAAAAAAUGACUGUACCUGAAGAAAAAGCACCGGCUAACUACGUGCCACAGCCGCGGUAAUCUGAGCGGGCUGGCAAGGC